AUAGGAUUCCUGAGAGAGCACCAAGGGAAAUGCGUUUAUAGACUCUUUCUUAUUCAAAAUAAGAACUGUUCUUAAUACAUCCCAAAGGUCACUGUCACAGCAAUUGCAUUAUUUUGUAUAUUGAUGAAAUUUAUAUGGUAAAUACGAAUACUAUAAAAUCUUUCAUACCCACGGCAAAAAGCUGGUUGGGAUUCAGAGAUUCGCAAACUCUUGACUACAUCGCUUACGACCCCUGAUGAAGUCCUGUGAGGACGAAACGCGUUGGGUAUUCGCGCAAUUGUGAAGUUGAACACACUUCUGAACGCAUUGGUAGAAAUAACCAUCACUAAUGUCAACAGAUAAUUAGUCUGUAUUUUCAAAGUCAAAUACAUGUUUUAUUGAA